rnacentral:rRNA from 1 species
CGCCUCUUGCAAUCCAAAAAUAUAAGAGGUCCCGCCUGCCCUGUGAUUAUAAAUUUAACGGCCGCGGUAUUUGACCGUGCGAAGGUAGCGAAAUCACUUGUCUUUUAAAUGAAGACCUGUAUGAAUGGCAUAACGAGGGCUUGACUGUCUCCUUUUUCAAGUCAAUGAAAUUGAUCUCCCCGUGCAGAAGCGGGGAUAAAAACAUAAGACGAGAAGACCCUAUGGAGCUUUAGACACCAGAGUAGACCAUGUUAAACACCCCUAUAUAAAGGGUUAAACCAAAUGAGACCUACCCUAAUGUCUUUGGUUGGGGCGACCGCGGGGAAACAAAAAACCCCCACGUGGAAUGGAAGUAAAACUUCUUCAACUAAGAGCCCCUGCUCUAGUGAACAGAAUUUCUGACCAAUAAGAUCCGGCAACGCCGAUCAACGAACCGAGUUACCCUAGGGAUAACAGCGCAAUCCCCUUUUAGAGCCCAUAUCGACAAGGGGGUUUACGACCUCGAUGUUGGACUCAGGACAUCCUAAUGGUGCAGCCGCUAUUAAGGUUCGUUUGUUCAACGAUUAAAGUCCU